CUAUCUGUCCGAGGAAAGCAGCUAUCAAGAGAUUGUUGGAAAGGAUUUGUGCGAUCAGACAGGCUGUGACACCGAGCCUCUGAAUUUGUCAGCUUGUCACAAACACUUACACCUACGACUGCUUGGCCAUCUCAAACACCCAAACUGCUCAGGCAACCACAAAGACUACGCCAGCUGUAGCCUACCAUGAAGGGGGAAAACACAGGUGUAAAUAAAAUCUAUAAAUUAUGUCCCUACAACCUUCAAACUACAUCCUCAAGCUUCUCUUAAGAAAAGCCUUGAGCGAUGAAAAAGAGCUCUCGAGAAGAGGAGAGAGAAAGAGAAAGUUUAAUGAAAAAGACCAAGAAUGAGAAGACAUGGCAGGAUGCAGAUGAAAGGAAAGUGUCUCAUUGAGCUGUCACGGGACUAUCAAACAGGCCCACAUGUCCGGCAGGCUUGGUGAACCAUGUGAGAAGAUGAUGGAGUACACUACAAUGGCCUCUGAGGAGCUGCCAUGCUCUGAGGGCAACAGCAAUGAAGCCAAACCCCAAGAGGUGCUGAACAACACCAUUGAACUCUGGCCUUCUGCAUGUUCAGGCCAAUAUUUGUGUCCAAAUCAAACUUGGAGCUCUUUGUUGCACAUAUGCCUGGGUUUGUUUCAAGACAAUGAUUAUGAAUUUAGACAUUUACGACCUCCCCUACAAAAUUCCCAAGUCACUCUACCUGAACUGUAUUUGUGUCUUUCUCCUCUAUGUUGGUGUCUGCAGAGUCUGUUUCCAAGACUUUUUCUUAAACAGUUGUUUCCAUGUGAACGCCAAGCCAACCUGUGACCUUGUAUUUAUGUUUUAGAGUAAACGCCUCUCGAAACACUUGCAGGUAGAAAUCACCCUCCUCAACUACCUUUUUUGCCACCUUCUUUGACAGAAGUAAAAAUAAAGUGUAGCCACUGCUGUCAAGAAAAAAAAAAGGUUUUUGAUACACACAUCUUUCUUUAACUAGCAUGGACCAAUGGGAAAUCAACACAGGUGCAUCAAUCAACGCACUGCUUUAUAAGUGUGUGUGUGUGUGUGCGUGCGUGCGUGUUUUAAUGUUUGGAGGCACAAUCCAAAAAUGCACCCAUAUGUCUUCAAACUAAAACAGAAACAAAUGAGGACACACGCUGGCAGGCACAUGGACAAUCAAAUCGGAUCCAAAUCUUCAGGGUGUCUUUUAGGUGGAUUACUUCCUUGCCAGAGAUCUUACUCAUGAAAUAAACUUCUUAAACUUGCUCAGUUUUAAACACCUUAGAAACCAAUUUUAAUCUGGGGAUAAUCACCAGACACUCAAAAGUUUUUUGGGGAAAAAGUGUUACCUGCUUCAGUUGACUUUGAAGCACCUGGGGGUUUUUUUUGUUGUUUUUUUUCCAAACCAGAGAAAGUAGAAACUGCCGCUCUGUACAGUAACACAUCGACUGAAAUAUGACUCAUAUAUUUCUGAAUACCAUCUGGGUGUUCUUAACAUUACUCCAACCCUCUGUGUCAGUCCCUGACAAGAAAUUCGACAUAUAGAGGUAGAGAAGAUUGAGGGGAUAUUUGGCCUCAAAACACAUUUGCACCAAAAGAAACACAAGUAAACAACAGAAGAUGAGGCGGAUGGGUGAAAGAAAGGACACAAAUACCUCAUUGGGACAAGUGAAAACGGAUCAGGAAUAUGUGAUUGUUCCCUUAGAAUAAAACUGAAAUUAGCUGCAACCACUGUAUACCUAAGUCCCAAUCCUAUUGUGUUUUUCUUUUUUUAUAUUAUUACAUGUACUUAUAUUAUAUAUUAAGUGUUCUCAGUGGUCGCUUAAUUGUGAUUAUGAAGUUUUUAGGCAAAGGUACGUAACUUGUGUCAUUUUCAAGGGCUUUUCUUCUGCAGAGCUCCAGUAGCUCAUUAGCAAUUAGCCUCUGAGUUGUGGGUAGAGACAGCGCUGCUCUACACACUCGUCUUCAUGCUGGCUUGCAGCCUAAUAUUCCCGGUGUAGUAGAAGUGGCAGGUAACAUAGGAGCUAUUCAGCUCUCGGACACUAAUGUCUUUGGGGACACGAUGAAAGCUAAUAUCAUUGUUAGCUUACUUUAGAGCAAUCUGCAACCGCACGUAUUUGUACCACAGUUGUCAUCUCUACUUCUCGGGGUCUGGCCUGUAGAGCGGGGUGCCGGGGGAGGAGCUUGGAAUUGUGACAUAGGAAAUCUUACUAUACUAUUUCUCUUUGAAUGAAGAAAUACUCGGAAAUGUAAUUUUGCUCCUAGUUUUCUCAUGUUAUGUUCCCUAGCAUUUGAGAAAUGAUAUGAACAUAUGGACAACAAGAAAAACAUAAUUUUCAUCAGAGCGGGUCUUUACAAAAUAAUGCUUGACAUUUUCUUUGACACUGUCCAAUUUACCUAUUAACCUCCUGGAUGCACCUCUGCAGAUAACAAGCAUGUUAUCUUGUCUAUUUAACCAACAAAAUGAAAAGAAUUGAAUAACAAUGGGACAUUUUCAGAAGUUAAUUGCUGUUCAUUUACUCUUCCCCAGAAAAUGACUGAGCUUAUUUCCUGGCCCAUUCUUGAACAACUAUAUAUGAGAAACGAAUAUGUCAAAAAGAGCCCAAGAAUUUGAUAUUUUUCUUGACUAUUUCAUUUCAAAUACAUCAACCAACCAUAACAUUAUGGCAACCCAGUGCAACAUCUCUGCCGUCAGUUCUGCCAUUACGAAAAUUCUACAUGAUUAGUUUUUGUAUUACAGAUCACACUAGAUGGACUUCUUUCACAAUGCUAACAGCAGCGAGGAGUAUACGCAUUUCCUUCAGUAAAGAGCUCUUGGCUGCUGAGGGAUAAUUUGACUGAUGUUAUACAGUACAAGGCACACAAGAUUUAUCCCCUGUAAAUAAAUGGCAUGAAAGCAGACCAAUUAGAUAAGCAAAGAUUAUCAUAAAGAUAAGCUGAGGUCACUGUCUGUGGCCCAUUUGCUUGUCUGAUUGUCUCCUGAGCUGCCGCCUUCUGUUGUCUCCUUCUUUCUCAUGCUGUUCAAUUCUUAAUUUAGCCCUCACUGAGCCCAAGCAGAUUACAAUGGCCUACAACAGGCUGAGGUGCACUCCUGUGCUCCCCGCAACAAGAAGGAAGUGGAAGAGGCACAGAGGGGUAAAUCAAGAUACAUCCCCAGGUUGAUAGAUGCUGAAUGGAACAGAUAGAGAACAUGAAGCAAGGUCGGCAUCCAUUAGACAUGCCUGUAAGUCACAGAUGGAUAACUCCACAACAGAAGGGUCAGCCUGUGCUGUUGCUGUUCACACCUCUGUCUCACACUGGAUAUUUUCAGAUUGUUACACAGUCAUGCAAACAAGCAUGCAGACAGCGACAGACAUGUCCCCCAUCUUGUAUCGAUGCCAUGUAUUUGAACCACUUGUCUCUGUGUGAAAAAUAAAUGCCAUGGUGGUAAACAUGUUGUCCACAACAGAUGACACUGUCAUCUUUAUUGACAACCGCUUUCUGCAACUUUUUAAGAAGCCAUUUGACAAACAAAUGGGUGAGCUUGUGGGGAAUUAACCAGAGAGGAUACAUGUGGGGAGACAAAUGUCCAAUUCAGAUGACUAGACAUCUAAGGGACUGUAAUGUGCCAGCUCCACUAAUACGAAGAUUGUGUUUUAGCAAAUGAAUGCACACAGGAAGGGUAAUUGUCUGAGGCAAUGAUAGUGACCAAGCUGAUGGUUGACAUUGCACAGAGAGCAUCCACAUCUCCUUUACUUGUCUGAGGCCAUGCACACAUGUAGCCGGGUAUUUUUAUAAAAAAAUAUUGAGCCCCCUCCGUUAAAAAAAAAGUCAUGUACACACAUCAAUAUUUUCAAAUAAAAUCCCAUCCACACAAAACUGCAUAAAUGUGCUAUUGACCACAGUUAUAGGCAUGCAAGAUCUGGAGUUGGUGGUAUUUGCCAAAAAGUUAUAUCCCCCCAUUCUAUCUAAACAGAGCAAGCUUCCCUUUCUCGUCGUCACUUCUCCAAAAUUGAAACAUAGCGCUGUGUAGUUCAUUCGUGUGGACCGAGAAAGAGGUGGAAUUGCUUUUAAGCAUCGCUCUGGAGUAUAAAGACACCAGAAAGGUGGAGGAAGGGUUAUUUGGUGUGGAAUAACUGACUGCUAAGCACUCUCUCUGCUUUGCUCCUCACAAAAAUGUAUUCUGUAUCUGUGCCAUCCACUGCCUGACAUAAACAAGAGCAUAAAGUGUAUGCCAUUUAUCUAUUAGUUGUCGCGGACACCGACGGUUGGGAAUUUAAAACUAAGGAGUUUUCCAAAAGCACCGUUAUAAUGAUGUAUUCAUGCGGCUUCAUGUAGAUGGCAGGCCGAUCCGUACAAAAAAUAUAUCCGUUUUAGCAAAUACCCAGCUACGUGUGUAUACGGCCUGCAUCCUGGUCUUCACCCCUACUUUAAUAUUGAGAAUAAAUCCACACACAUUUGCAGACAAACAUCUCCCUGGACCUGCAGACUCCACCCAGAAGACAGCCUAACAGAAACAGAAUUUCAUCUUGUUGAAAACCCAUCAGACACCGCCACGGGUAAUUCAGGAUAAUGUAGUGUUUUUUUUCAGGAAAGCAUCCUGAGUUCAUAAGACUUAAGGUUGUAAUUUUAUACCCACAAAAAAAGAAGUCUAACAGCAUCUUGUCUGACCUCUUGUAGCGCCUGUGGUCCUCCAGGAUCCCAAACCUGCACGGCAAUGACGGCGCCAAUGUCAUGCUGUCACCUGAGCUGAGCCAUUAUUACACAGGCAUUCUUAAUAGCCCUAUAGAUUAAGGUCCAGAGGAACAAGACACCAACAGAUUAAAAAAAGAAAGAUAGGAAAGAGGAUGAUGAAUUACCUCAGAUUGCCAGGCAAUCAUGCAUAAAUUACUAGGAUGUGCUUAGGUAUAAUAACCAUUGCUGUUUUAAGUGAUCGCUCACUCCGGGGGAGAGGUUGUGUAAGAAAAAGCGGUUGGGGAUGGAGGGAAGAGAUGGGUGGCGGGUAAAGAAAGGAACGGGUCACAGCUGUCUACUCAAUCACAUCACCGUCAAGGGUAUCGCCCUGACACUGUCUCCACUCUGUGCCCCAAGCUUCCCCACAAAUCUCCUGAUAGACAGACGCAGCAGUCAAGCGGCCCCCUCCUCCUCCCAGCAGGGACCCCAAAGGUUCCUUGGGCACGUCUCUGUGGCCCUACAGGCUGCCGCGGGGAGCCCUGGCAACAACUGAUUAUUCAGGAUCGAGGCUAACAAGAAUCUGCCAUGUGGAUCUCAAAACAACAUGUUCUGGUUGUGAAUACAUCAUGAAGCAGGGGGAACAGGCUGUCUGCUGCUGCGUCCCUCUCUCUCUCUAGCUCCCUCUCUCUCUCUCUCUCUCUGGGUGUGUGGCACUCUCCGUCUCUGAGCAGAUUCAAGAGCAGCAGCUUCAGGUAGGAGGACAGAAACCAGCCGCCAUCACAUCUGGGUCCUCAAAACACAGGCGUAUAUCGUAGCGAGCAGAAUGCUGAGGUUUCAAAGUCAUAUAUGGAGAAAUGCAGCUGUUUCCAAUACCAAAAUAAUAUACACCAAGCUUUCCAAUGAUGAGUGGAAUCUGAGAAAACAUCCACAGUCUGCACAAGUGUCAAUUUUGAUGCUCCAGAUAUGCAAUCUGAAGGUUGUUGGAGAAGAUCUAAAAACAAGAAGGAUUACUUAUUUGCAAAAUAAAGUACCUUGUCUUUAACUUGAAUAAUGCAGGGUGUUUGGUGAAUCAUUUUGUCCUAAGUCUUGUUUAUGUAAUAUUUUUAAUAAAUGCAUAAAAUAACAACAGCACCUAUGUAUGGCCUUUUCUUCUCAUUCAGUCAGUCCUGUUAGGCUGUCACAGUCCACAGCAUGUGAAUUUGCAUCUGUUUUCAUCCAGUUGCCAAAAGCAUCUUUGACUGUCCGUCUUUUAAUGUUUUAACAAUCCUGGUUUAUUUCUGCGCCUUACCACUUUUUACUUUCUUUUCUGUGCAGGUAAACAGUCAGCAAAUAACCAGCAAUCUACAGUUCAGUGUUUGGGCAGUCACAAAAGUACAUAUGUAAUCAGGUUGACCCCAGAACUGUCUUUGCUAGUCAACUGCUUCAAUGCAGCCAGGUGGUGAGAAAGCCAGGUAACAUUUUCUCGAAACUUCCUUUAAAGACCCAUAUAGACCCAUAUAAAAUGGUUGUUGACUAGGAUGUGGUUAAAAUGCGGUUUCAAUCUGAAAAAUGAAAAUUAAACCUUAGUUUGUCAGAUUAUUCCUUUUUUUAUCAAUACAAGAGAUAACAAUAUAUUAGUCUGCCUUGUAUAUAAGUUCAGUUAAAAUUAGAACUAAAUAUUUCAUUAAAGUUAAAGUGAAAUUUAAAUUUUGGGUAUUUUUAAUUUGAAAAUUUCCAGACACUAUAAUCUUACAGAUUGACUGUUGCUUUCUGUCUUCAGAGUGCAUCUUAAAAAUGGAUUAAAAAGCUUUAUGUACUUUGCUCCUCUGCUUUGCUUCAGAAGAAUUUAGGUCUAAGAGAGCUGGUCUCUCUGAAAGUUUUUAAGAAAUAAGUUAUUUCUUAUUUUUUAGAAAUAAAUUACACAGAAUAUACAUUUUUCUCCCCCCUGCUUGCGAUGUUGACAUGUAGCUAUUUUAAGACUGGUUUGUGCUUAAGUCUUCUUUUUUCUGUACAGCUCCAUUUUUAAAAGUUAUUGGAGGUUUAUGUUUUCUAUGAUUGACACCUGAUACAGCCUCUGGGCGUACAAAGAUUGUGUAGCUCACCCGGGGGAUACACUGUUUAAGCCCAGCGUCAUCACAGCAACUCUCCUGCCGAAUGCGUAACGCUACUGCGCCGGUGGUGGUUCCAGGAAGUGAGGAAAAUCCUGGAAAUACAGAGAGCAAUUCGGCUUCAAAUUCAUAUAAUGAUGGAUGGCGGAGCCAAGUUGUCCAUAGUAUAUUCAGUCUAUGGUGCCACUGCUUGGCCAGGACACUUGUGUAUAUGUCAUUUUCAAUCUCAGUGGGGCUUUCCUUGUUAAAUAAAAUUCAAAUACAUAAAAAAGUUAUAUAAUGUCAUCAUUAUCAUGUGGGUUUAUUUUCUUUUAAGGCAGCAAGGCUGUGUUUUAUGUCUGCAUCACCUCCUAUAAAAAUCACAGUGGGACAGAGAGAGGGGCAAAAAAAACUCUUAUUUUGAGUGUGUGACUGUCAUUGUGCACUGUUUCUUUAAGUGCCACAACAAAGAUCACCAAAACUUGCACAUGGAUGGGUUUUGUAGAAAUACUUAUCUCUUGAAGGGCAAAGCUGAUGAAUAGCACAGUCUGUGAACACGUGUACAAUCGUGAAGGAUAAAUAUUAGUAUCUAUUUCUUCCAUAACUUGUCCCCUGCUACUUAAGUGCUGCCGUCUGAGCCAUCUGCUAGAGAGCCUGGCAAGAGGACAGGAAAGCCACAGUUGAGAGGCCUCAGAGGGACCAUCUCCGAGACUGGUACAACACCUCAGGGUCUGGAUAUUCGUCUCCCUUCACCACAUCCUUCUUGGUCAGCAUCACUUUACAUUUACUUCUCACGUAUAAACAUGAUACUGCAGUCCCUGUUCCUUUAAAUCCCUGUUUCUCCCUCGACUGAGUUGUCCUGCUGCUUUCUUAUAGCCCAUGUGGUGUAGUAAUGUCAGCGCAGUAGGGAGCUGGGGAGCAAAACAAAGUUAAGCCACUUAAUUCAGUAGUAUUCACAAUGGCAAAUUAGGCAGAAAUACAGAUCCCACCCAAUCAAACACAUGGAAGCACAUAAGGAGAGCGGGAGAGUGUGUUCCUCCUCUGUGACUCAUUAUAAACCUGAUAAUAAGCAGAAAAAGUCAGUGAAUGGGCAAAAACUGUUCAAAGAUACACUAGUUAAUAUUACACGGCACUUCGUCUCCAUCAUGUGCAACACUCCUCAACACACACACAGAGAAAGGAGGAUUAAUAGACCCAUUUUUCCUUCCAUUAAUCCACGAAGACACUAUAAAGCAACCCAUCUCCUCCCCCUGUUUUCUUCCUCUCCUUUAUAUUCCCAGUGCCCUAAAGUUCAAAGUAGAACUACAGAGCUAGGUUUGUGUUUGUAGAGAUGAGGGCCCUCUCCAGCAGUAUCUGAAGGAAAUAAGGAGACAGAGUUGAAGUCUGACAGCAUCCAUCUCUACAUAGCAGGUGGCAAAGAAUCAGAGAGCAACAAAACAUGUGGGAGAGAGAUGGAGGGUCGUUAUGCCAGGACAGCCAGCAGGGGGAGACGAAUCAGGGAAAUGGGACCCAAAUUAGAAAAAGAGAAAAAACACUGGGACCCUUCAAACAUUCACAAAACACACAAAAAUGGAGGCUGUGGUAGAGAUGGAGAGCUCAUCUGGCACUGCCACACUCGGUGCACAUAAGCUUAAGGUGCAGCCUAGGGUCCAUCUUAGCUUAGCAUAGCUUAAGUCAGCCAGCCAAGGUUCACUCCUCUGGACUGAGCCCCAAGUAGCAUAUCGC